rnacentral:ncRNA from 2 species
CGCAGAGUAAAGAUUUGUGCGUCAAGUGUUGAUUGUACGGGGAGUUGACAAUCAAACGAAAAACCGCUGGCUCGUAGCCAUUAGUUUGCGGUACAGAUCUUGCAUCCCGCUGCA